rnacentral:rRNA from 1 species
UACGUAGGGGGCGAGCGUUGUCCGGAAUCAUUGGGCGUAAAGCGCGUGUAGGCGGUUCGGUAAGUCUGCUGUGAAAGUCCAGGGCUCAACCCUGGGAUGCCGGUGGAUACUGCCGAACUAGAGUGCGGAAGAGGCGAGUGGAAUUCCCGGUGUAGCGGUGAAAUGCGCAGAUAUCGGGAAGAACACCAGUGGCGAAGGCGGUUCUCUGGGACGGUACUGACGCUGAGACGCGAAAGCGUGGGGAGCGAACAGG